rnacentral:rRNA from 1 species
AAAAGAGGAGUGGCGAACGGGUGAGUAACACGUGGGUAACCUGCCCAUCAGAAGGGGAUAACACUUGGAAACAGGUGCUAAUACCGUAUAACAAUCGAAACCGCAUGGUUUUGAUUUGAAAGGCGCUUUCGGGUGUCGCUGAUGGAUGGACCCGCGGUGCAUUAGCUAGUUGGUGAGGUAACGGCUCACCAAGGCCACGAUGCAUAGCCGACCUGAGAGGGUGAUCGGCCACAUUGGGACUGAGACACGGCCCAAACUCCUACGGGAGGCAGCAGUAGGGAAUCUUCGGCAAUGGACGAAAGUCUGACCGAGCAACGCCGCGUGAGUGAAGAAGGUUUUCGGAUCGUAAAACUCUGUUGUUAGAGAAGAACAAGGAUGAGAGUAACUGUUCAUCCCUUGACGGUAUCUAACCAGAAAGCCACGGCUAACUACGUGCCAGCAGCCGCGGUAAUACGUAGGUGGCAAGCGUUGUCCGGAUUUAUUGGGCGUAAAGCGAGCGCAAGCGGUUUCUUAAGUCUGAUGUGAAAGCCCCCGGCUCAACCGGGGAGGGUCAUUGGAAACUGGGAGACUUGAGUGCAGAAGAGGAGAGUGGAAUUCCAUGUGUAGCGGUGAAAUGCGUAGAUAUAUGGAGGAACACCAGUGGCGAA